GUUCAGAAUUCGACUGGACACAUAAUAAAAAUGGAACGAUACAAAGAAGGUUAGCAAGACCCUUGCUUACGGAGCAUGUAAUAUUAACAGACAUUCUU